rnacentral:rRNA from 1 species
AUUGAACGCUGGCGGCAGGCCUAACACAUGCAAGUCGAACGAGUGGCGGACGGGUGAGUAAUGUCUGGGAAACUGCCUGAUGGAGGGGGAUAACUACUGGAAAAGGUAGCUAAUACCGCAUACCAUCGGAUGUGCCCAGAUGGGAUUAGCUAGUGGGUGGGGUAACGGCUCACCUAGGCGACGAUCCCUAGCUGGGCUGAGAGGAUGACCGGCCACACUGGAACUGAGACACGGUCCAGACUCCUACGGGAGGCAGCAGUGGGGAAUAUUGCACAAUGGGCGCAAGCCUGACGCAGCCACGCCGCGUGUAUGAAGAAGGCCUUCGGGUUGUAAAGUACUUUCAGCGAGGAGGCGUUACCCGCAGAAGAAGCACCGGCUAACUCCGUGCCAGCAGCCGCGGUAAUAC